AGUGAGGAAUCUUCCACAAGGACGAAAGUCUGAUGGAGCGACACCGCGUGAAGGAUGAAGGUUUUGUUAUUGUAAACUUCUUUUCUCAGGGACGAUAAUGACGGUACCUGAGGAAUAAGGGACGGCUAACUAUGUGCCAGCAGCCGCGGUAAUACAUAGGUCCCAAGCGUUAUCCGGAAUUACUGGGCGUAAAGCGUCUGCAGGUGGAAAAGUGUGUCAGAUAUGAAAGACCGGGGCUCAACCCCGUGUUUGUGUCUGAAACUGCUUUUCUCGAGUGAGCAAGAGGUAUGCGGAAUUUAUGGAGUAGGAGUGCAAUCCGUUGACACCAUAAAGAACACCAAAAGCGAAGGCAGCAUACUGGGGCUCUACUGACACUCAGAGACGAAAGCGUGGGUAGCGAAAGGGAUUAGAUACCCCUGUAGUCCACGCCCUAAACUAUGAUGAUUAGGUGUUGGUCCUUCGGGAUCAGUGCCGUAGCUAACGCGUUAAAUCAUCCGCCUGAGUAGUACGGCCGCAAGGCUAAAACUCAAAUGAAUAGACGGGGGCCCACACAAGCAGUGGAUCAUGCGGUUUAAUUCGAUACUGAACGAGGAACCUUACCCAGACUUGAUAUCUACGAAAUCCCCUAGAGAUAGAGGAGUGCUCGCAAGAGAAUCGUAAGACAGGCGCUGCAUGGUUGCCGUCAGCUCGUGCCUUGAGGUGUUCGGUUGAGUCCGUUAACGAGCGAAACCCAUGUCAUUAGUUAUUAUGUCUGAUGAGACUGCCUGAGUUAAUCAGGAGGAAGGUGUGGAUGACGUCAAAUCAGCAUGGCCCUUAUGUCUGGGGCUACACGCAUGAUACAAUGGUCGGUACAAAGAGUCGCUAACCCGCGAGGGUACGCUAAUCUCAUAAAGCCGAUCUCAGUCCGGAUUGUAGGCUGCAACUCGCCUACAUGAAGUUGGAAUUGCUAGUAAUCGUGAAUCAGAUAUGUCACGGUGAAUAUGUUCCUGGGCCUUGUACACACCGCCCUCUAGAGUCGACCUCCACAC
rnacentral:rRNA from 1 species